rnacentral:pre_miRNA from 1 species
UGCUCCUUCUCUCUAAUCCUUGCUGUCUGGGUGCUAGUGCUGUGUCAAUGCAAUGCACCUGGGCAAGGAUUCAGAGAGGGUGAGCU